UUGCUAGUCAGGCUCCUGGCUGGAGGCCAGCUCUCAGCUGCUUCCAGGCUGUGGCCAGGGCCUGAAUGGAUG
rfam:Mus musculus chromosome 7, GRC primary reference assembly.